UACAGAGGGUGCAAGCGUUAAUCGGAAUUACUGGGCGUAAAGCGUGCGUAGACGGUAGCGUAAGUCGGGUGUGAAAGCCCCGGGCUCAACCUGGGAAUUGCAUUCGAGACUGCUCUGCUAGGGUGCGGAAGAGGGGAGCGGAAUUUCCGGUGUAGCGGUGAAAUGCGUUGAGAGUCGGAAGGAACGCCCGUGGCGAAAGCGAGGUCCUGGACGCCUACUGACGCUGAGACGCGAAAGCCAGGGGAGCGAACGGG
rnacentral:rRNA from 1 species